CGGUAAUUCCAGCUCCAAUAGCGUAUACUAACGUUGUUGCAGUUAAAAAGCUCGUAGUUGGAUUUCUGAUCUUUGCCAAUGGUUGUGUCGCCGCGUGCGAGGCGCCUUGCGCAGAGGUCAACAUAUGUCACGAGCCAGUGUGAUCUAUUCAUUUAGGUCCACUGGGUAAUGACUCGUUUACUUUGAGAAAAUUAGAGUGUUCAAAGCAGGCAUUUGCCUUGAAUAUGUUAGCAUGGAAUAAUAGCAUAGGACUUCGGUUCUAUUUGUUGGUUGUUCGAGAACUGGAGUAAUGAUUGAUAGGGACGGUUGGGGGCAUCCGUAUUCUCAAGCGAGAGGUGAAAUUCUUGGACCUUGGGAAGACGAACAGCUGCGAAAGCGUUUGCCUAGGACGUUCUCUUUAAUCAAGAACGAAAGUUGGGGGAUCGAAGACGAUCAGAUACCGUCGUAGUCUCAACUAUAAACUAUGCCAGCUAGGGAUCGGUGGGUCUUUGUCACGAGUCCAUCGGCACCUUACGAGAAAUCAAAGCAUUUGGGUUCCGGGGGGAGUAUGGUCGCAAGGCUGAAACUUAAAGGAAUUGACGGAAGGGCACCACCAGGAGUGGAGCCUCUGGCUUAAUUUGACUCAACACGGGAAAACUUACCAGGUCCGGACAUAGUAAGGAUUGACAGAUUGAAAGCUCUUUCUUGAUUCUAUGGGUGGUGGUGCAUGGCCGUUCUUAGUUGGUGGAGUGAUUUGUCUGGUUAAUUCCGUUAACGAACGAGACCCGCGCCUGCUAAAUAGUCGGCCUCACUUCUGUGGGUGUUGUACUUCUUAGAGGGACCAUCCUGGGUAUACCGGAAGGAAGUUGCGGGCAAUAACAGGUCUGUGAUGCCCUUAGAUGUUCUGGGCUGCACACGGGCUACACUGCAAGAUACAACAAGCGUCGAUCACGCCUGACUGGAAGGUCCGGCCAAUCUUUGAAUAUCUUGCGUGAUUGGGAUAGACCAUUGCAAUUAUUGGUCUUCAACGAGGAAUUCCUAGUAAACGCGUGUCAACAACACGCAUUGAUUACGUCCCUGCCCCUUGUACACACCGCCC
rnacentral:rRNA from 1 species